UACGAAGGGGGGCUAGCGUUGCUCGGAAUCACUGGGCGUAAAAGCGCACGUAGGCGGAUUCUUAAGUCAGGGGGUGAAAUCCUGGAGCUCAACUCCAGAACUGCCUUUGAUACUGAAGAUCUUGAGUUCGGGAGAGGUGAGUGGAACUGCGAGUGUAGAGGUGAAAUUCGUAGAUAUUCGCAAGAACACCAGUGGCGAAGGCGGCUCACUGGCCCGAUACUGACGCUGAGGCACGAAAGCGUGGGGAGCAAACAGG
rnacentral:rRNA from 1 species